rnacentral:tRNA from 1 species
AGUAAGAUAAAAUAAAAUAAUCUAUUGGGCACGCGUAUUCCCAAAAAUGAGGGCUAUAAACCCUCUCUUACUA